CAAUUUAUACAAAUAGCAUAAGGUUACAUUUAUGAAAUCCAUCUGGAUGCCAGUUGGCAUGAUCCAGUUGGCUCCAUUUCAAGGCGGUCGUUGGAAUCAGUAUACAUGUUGUUUCUUCUUGUUAUUGAGAAUUAUGCAAUCUGCGUGCAAUAUUUAUUAAAGUCUGAUGAUCCAUAUUAAAGAUGUAGAAUGAUUUU
rnacentral:sRNA from 1 species